rnacentral:rRNA from 1 species
UACGUAGGGGGCAAGCGUUGUCCGGAAUCAUUGGGCGUAAAGAGCGCGUAGGCGGCCAGAAAAGUCCGCUGUGAAAACUCGAGGCUCAACUUCGAGCUGUCGGUGGAAACUUUCUGGCUAGAGUCCGGAAGAGGAGAAUGGAAUUCCUGGUGUAGCGGUGAAAUGCGCAGAUAUCAGGAAGAACACCCGUGGCGAAGGCGGUUCUCUGGGACGGUACUGACGCUGAGGCGCGAAAGCGUGGGGAGCGAACAGG